GGGGAAUCUUGCACAAUGGGGGCAACCCUGAUGCAGCGACGCCGCGUGAGCGAUGAAGCCCUUCGGGGCGUAAAGCUCUUUCGACCGGAACGAUAAUGACGGUACCUGGAGAAGAAGCUGCGGCUAACUACGUGCCAGCAGCCGCGGUAAUACGUAGGCAGCGAGCGUUGUUCGGAGUUACUGGGCGUAAAGAGUGCGUAGGCGGCGAGCCAAGUUUGGUGUGAAAUCUCCCGGCUUAACCGGGAGGGUGCGCCGAAAACUGGUUGGCUGGAGUAUGGGAGAGGAAAGCGGAAUUCCUGGUGUAGCGGUGAAAUGCGUAGAUAGCAGGAGGAACACCUGCGGUGUAGACAGCUUUCUGGACCAAAACUGACGCUGAGGCACGAAAGCGUGGGUAGCAAACA
rnacentral:rRNA from 1 species